AUGACGACACGCUCCUUUGUGACAACAAUGAUGACGACAGCGACGACUCGGUUCUCUGUGACUAUGAAAAUGACUUGUACCUCUGUGAUGAUUACAAUGACGACGCGCUCCUCUGUGACGACGACGACAACAACACGCUCCUCUGUGACGACGACGAUGAUGCACUCCUCUGUGACGAUGAUGACGAUGGCAACUUGCUCCUCUGUGAUGACGAUGACGACGACGCACUCCUCUGUGACAAAGACGAGGACGGCAACUUGCUCCUCUGUGACGACGAUGACGAUGACUCGCUCCUCUGUGACGACGACGACAAUGACAACAAUGAUGCGCUCCUCUGUGAGGACAACAACGAUGCGCUCCUCUUUGACAACGACAACGACGACUCGCUCCUCUAUGACAACAAUGAUGACGCGCUCCUUUGUGACGAUGACAACGAAUCGCACCUCUGCGACGACAACGACACCCUCCUCUGUGACGAUGAUGACGACAACGACGCGCUCCUCUGUGACAAUGACGACGACUACGCACUCCUCUGUGACGCCGAUGACAACGAUGACGCACUCCUCUGUGACGAUUAUGACGACAACGGCUCACUCCUCUGUGAUGACGACGACAACUCACUCCUCUGUGACAACAAAGUCAACGACGAAUCACUCCUCUGUGAUGACAACAACGGCGACGCCCUCCUCUGUGGUGAUGACGAUGACAAUGACGCAGUCCUCUGUGAUGACAACGACGAUGGCGCCCUCUUCUGUGAUGACGAUGACGACGACAACAGUGAUGACUCAGUCUUCUGUGACUAUGAUAAUGACUCGUACCUCUGUGAUGACUACAAUGACGACGUGCUCCUCUGUGACGAUGAAGACGACAACGACUUGCUCCUCUGUGACGUCGACAGCAAUGACUCGGUCCUCUGUGAUGAUGACAGUGACUCACUCCCCUGUGACGACAACGACGACGACUCACUCCUCUGUGACAAAGACAAUGACAAUGAUGCACUCCCCUGUGACAACGACGAUGACGACGACUCACUCCUCUGUGACGAUGACAACGAUGACGCCCUCCUCUGUGAUGACAAUGACGACGAUGCGCUCCUCUGUGACAACGACGACGCGCUCCUCUGUGACGAGAACGACGACGGCGACAACUCAGUCCUCUGUGAACAUGAAAAUGACUAGUGCCUCUGUGAAGACGACAACAAUGACGCGUUCCUCUGUGACGAUGACAAUGAUACGCUCCCCUGUGACGACAGUGACAACAACACGCUCCUCUGUGUUGACAACAAUGACUAUGACGCGCUCAUCUGUGACAACAACGACAACGAAUCGCUCCUCUGUGAUGAUGACGAUGACGAAUCUCUCCUCUGUGACGACGACAAUGACGACUCACUCCUCGGAGACAGCAACGACGAAGACAACUCACUCCUCUGUGACAACAAAUUCAACGAUGACUCACUCCUCUGUGACGACGAUGACGACGACGCGCUCCUCUCUGAUGACGAUGACGAUGACGACGCGCUCCUCUCUGACGACGAUGACAACGACGCCCUCCUCUGUGAGGACGUCAGUGACGAUGCGCUCCUUUGAGAUGAUGAUGACGACGCGCUCCUCUGUGAUGAUGAUGACAACAACAUGCUCCUCUGUGGCAACGACGAUGACGCACUCCUCUGUGACGAUGACAACAAUGGCAACAACUCGGUCCUCUGUGAUGACGACGACAACUUGCUCCUCUGUGAUGACGAGGACGACGACUCGCUCCUCUGUGACAAUGAUGACGACUAGAACGCGCUCCUCUGUGAUGACGACGUGCUCCUCUGUGAGGACAAUGAUGAUGUGCUCCUCUUUGACAACAACGACAACGACUCGCUCCUCUGUGACAACAAUGAUGAUGCGCUCCUUUGUGACGACAACGACAACACCCUCCUCUGUGAUGAUGAUGACAAUGACACGUGCU
rnacentral:lncRNA from 1 species